rnacentral:rRNA from 1 species
UACGGGGGGUGCAAGCGUUGUCCGGAUUUACUGGGCGUAAAGGGCGCGUAGGCGGUUGUAUCAGUCGGGCUUAUAAGUGCGGGGCUCAACCCCGUGAUGGGUUCGGGACGGUAUGACUGGGGCGCGGUCGAGGGAGACGGAAUGCCGGGUGUAGUGGUGAAAUGCGUAGAGAUCCGGCGGAACACCGGUGGUGAAGGCGGUCUCCUGGUCCGAGGGCCGACGCUGAGUGAGCGAAAGCCAGGGGAGCAAACGGG